rnacentral:rRNA from 1 species
GAAUUUUGGGCAAUGGGCGCAAGCCUGACCCAGCAACGCCGCGUGAAGGAUGAAAUCCCUCUGGGAUGUAAACUUCGAAAGUCGGGAAAGAAAUCGCCAUGGAGAAUACCUGUGGUGGAUGACGGUACCCGACGUAAGCCCCGGCUAACUACGUGCCAGCAGCGGCGGUAAUACGUAGGGGGCAAGCGUUGUUCGGGAUUACUGGGCGUAAAGGGCGCGUAGGCGGCAUGGCAAGUCGGGAGUGAAAGCCCGGGGCUCAACCCCGGAACGGCUUUCGAAACUGCCAAGCUAGAGUACGGAAGGGGCAACUGGAAUUCCCAGUGUAGCGGUGAAAUGCGUAGAUAUUGGGAAGAACACCGGAGGCGAAGGCGGGUUGCUGGGCCGAUACUGACGCUGAGGCGCGAAAGCCUGGGGAGCAAACGGG